UACGUAGGGUCCGAGCGUUGUCCGGAAUUAUUGGGCGUAAAGAGCUCGUAGGCGGUUUGUCGCGUCGACUGUGAAAACCCGAGGCUUAACCUCGGGCCUGCAGUCGAUACGGGCAGACUAGAGUUCGGUAGGGAGACGUGGAAUUCCUGGUGUAGCGGUGAAAUGCGCAGAUAUCGGGAGGAACACCAAUGGCGAAGGCAGCUUGCUGGGACGGUACUGACGCUGAGACGCGAAAGCGUGGGAGCAAACAGG
rnacentral:rRNA from 1 species